rnacentral:rRNA from 1 species
AUGAGUACCGAGUCCAGGAAUGGGAGCGACAUCGACCCGGAGAACGUCAUCGCCGCCACACUCGACGAUCUGUCGCAAGAUGAUCGGCGCGAGCUUGAACAAGAGCUUAAGAAAAAGAUGGCUGAGCAACUAAAAUUGAAGUUGAUUGGAUACCGCAAGACAAGGAUCGGCGUCGUCAAGAAGGUACAUGUGCCGAACCCUUCAGAUUCGAUCAACGCCGAGGUAAAAAAGUCAACCGAAGAAAUUUCUCAUCCAAUUGAUGUGUGCGUAGCUACCAAGUACGAUUCUGAUGUGAAAACUACGAUACACACAAUUACUCAAUCACUAGCUAAUAGAAUUGAAGAAUUUAAGGAGCAACUUCAUAAAGAUCUUGAAAAUAUUUACCUAGUCAUGUUCGAUCGUUAG